UUAAGCGACUAAGCGUACACGGUGGAUGCCCUGGCAGUCAGAGGCGAUGAAGGACGUGCUAAUCUGCGAUAAGCGUCGGUAAGGUGAUAUGAACCGUUAUAACCGGCGAUUUCCGAAUGGGGAAACCCAGUGUGUUUCGACACACUAUCAUUAACUGAAUCCAUAGGUUAAUGAGGCGAACCGGGGGAACUGAAACAUCUAAGUACCCCGAGGAAAAGAAAUCAACCGAGAUUCCCCCAGUAGCGGCGAGCGAACGGGGAGGAGCCCAGAGCCUGAAUCAGUGUGUGUGUUAGUGGAAGCGUCUGGAAAGGCGCGCGAUACAGGGUGACAGCCCCGUACACAAAAAUGCACAUACUGUGAGCUCGAUGAGUAGGGCGGGACACGUGGUAUCCUGUCUGAAUAUGGGGGGACCAUCCUCCAAGGCUAAAUACUCCUGACUGACCGAUAGUGAACCAGUACCGUGAGGGAAAGGCGAAAAGAACCCCGGCGAGGGGAGUGAAAAAGAACCUGAAACCGUGUACGUACAAGCAGUGGGAGCCUCUUUUAUGGGGUGACUGCGUACCUUUUGUAUAAUGGGUCAGCGACUUAUAUUCUGUAGCAAGGUUAACCGAAUAGGGGAGCCGAAGGGAAACCGAGUCUUAACUGGGCGUUAAGUUGCAGGGUAUAGACCCGAAACCCGGUGAUCUAGCCAUGGGCAGGUUGAAGGUUGGGUAACACUAACUGGAGGACCGAACCGACUAAUGUUGAAAAAUUAGCGGAUGACUUGUGGCUGGGGGUGAAAGGCCAAUCAAACCGGGAGAUAGCUGGUUCUCCCCGAAAGCUAUUUAGGUAGCGCCUCGUGAAUUCAUCUCCGGGGGUAGAGCACUGUUUCGGCAAGGGGGUCAUCCCGACUUACCAACCCGAUGCAAACUGCGAAUACCGGAGAAUGUUAUCACGGGAGACACACGGCGGGUGCUAACGUCCGUCGUGAAGAGGGAAACAACCCAGACCGCCAGCUAAGGUCCCAAAGUCAUGGUUAAGUGGGAAACGAUGUGGGAAGGCCCAGACAGCCAGGAUGUUGGCUUAGAAGCAGCCAUCAUUUAAAGAAAGCGUAAUAGCUCACUGGUCGAGUCGGCCUGCGCGGAAGAUGUAACGGGGCUAAACCAUGCACCGAAGCUGCGGCAGCGACGCUGAUGCGUUGUUGGGUAGGGGAGCGUUCUGUAAGCCUGUGAAGGUGUGCUGUGAGGCAUGCUGGAGGUAUCAGAAGUGCGAAUGCUGACAUAAGUAACGAUAAAGCGGGUGAAAAGCCCGCUCGCCGGAAGACCAAGGGUUCCUGUCCAACGUUAAUCGGGGCAGGGUGAGUCGACCCCUAAGGCGAGGCCGAAAGGCGUAGUCGAUGGGAAACAGGUUAAUAUUCCUGUACUUGGUGUUACUGCGAAGGGGGGACGGAGAAGGCUAUGUUGGCCGGGCGACGGUUGUCCCGGUUUAAGCGUGUAGGCUGGUUUUCCAGGCAAAUCCGGAAAAUCAAGGCUGAGGCGUGAUGACGAGGCACUACGGUGCUGAAGCAACAAAUGCCCUGCUUCCAGGAAAAGCCUCUAAGCAUCAGGUAACAUCAAAUCGUACCCCAAACCGACACAGGUGGUCAGGUAGAGAAUACCAAGGCGCUUGAGAGAACUCGGGUGAAGGAACUAGGCAAAAUGGUGCCGUAACUUCGGGAGAAGGCACGCUGAUAUGUAGGUGAAGUCCCUCGCGGAUGGAGCUGAAAUCAGUCGAAGAUACCAGCUGGCUGCAACUGUUUAUUAAAAACACAGCACUGUGCAAACACGAAAGUGGACGUAUACGGUGUGACGCCUGCCCGGUGCCGGAAGGUUAAUUGAUGGGGUCAGCGCAAGCGAAGCUCUUGAUCGAAGCCCCGGUAAACGGCGGCCGUAACUAUAACGGUCCUAAGGUAGCGAAAUUCCUUGUCGGGUAAGUUCCGACCUGCACGAAUGGCGUAAUGAUGGCCAGGCUGUCUCCACCCGAGACUCAGUGAAAUUGAACUCGCUGUGAAGAUGCAGUGUACCCGCGGCAAGACGGAAAGACCCCGUGAACCUUUACUAUAGCUUGACACUGAACAUUGAGCCUUGAUGUGUAGGAUAGGUGGGAGGCUUAGAAGUGUGGACGCCAGUCUGCAUGGAGCCGACCUUGAAAUACCACCCUUUAAUGUUUGAUGUUCUAACGUUGACCCGUGAUCCGGGUUGCGGACAGUGUCUGGUGGGUAGUUUGACUGGGGCGGUCUCCUCCUAAAGAGUAACGGAGGAGCACGAAGGUUGGCUAAUCCUGGUCGGACAUCAGGAGGUUAGUGCAAUGGCAUAAGCCAGCUUGACUGCGAGCGUGACGGCGCGAGCAGGUGCGAAAGCAGGUCAUAGUGAUCCGGUGGUUCUGAAUGGAAGGGCCAUCGCUCAACGGAUAAAAGGUACUCCGGGGAUAACAGGCUGAUACCGCCCAAGAGUUCAUAUCGACGGCGGUGUUUGGCACCUCGAUGUCGGCUCAUCACAUCCUGGGGCUGAAGUAGGUCCCAAGGGUAUGGCUGUUCGCCAUUUAAAGUGGUACGCGAGCUGGGUUUAGAACGUCGUGAGACAGUUCGGUCCCUAUCUGCCGUGGGCGCUGGAGAACUGAGGGGGGCUGCUCCUAGUACGAGAGGACCGGAGUGGACGCAUCACUGGUGUUCGGGUUGUCAUGCCAAUGGCACUGCCCGGUAGCUAAAUGCGGAAGAGAUAAGUGCUGAAAGCAUCUAAGCACGAAACUUGCCCCGAGAUGAGUUCUCCCUGACCCUUUAAGGGUCCUGAAGGAACGUUGAAGACGACGACGUUGAUAGGCCGGGUGUGUAAGCGCAGCGAUGCGUUGAGCUAACCGGUACUAAUGAACCGUGAGGCUUAACCUU
rnacentral:rRNA from 1 species